AAACAACUCUCAGCAACGGAUAUCUUGGCUCUUGCAACGAUGAANNNNNCAGCGAAAUGCGAUACGUAGUGUGAAUUGCAGAAUUCCGCGAAUCAUCGAGUCUUUGAACGCAAGUUGCGCCUGAGGCUUGUCCAAGGGCAUUUCCGCUAGAGCGUCACCGCGCCCCCCACCGAUCCACCCCCCCGUGGGAGUUGGUUCGAGUGAACGUGGUCAUCCCGGUGGGCCUCCUUUG
rnacentral:rRNA from 1 species